GCCUUCGCGGUGUAGUGGUCAGCACGCUCGACGCGUAACCGAGAGGUCCGUGGUUCGAUUCCCGGCGAAAGCG
rnacentral:tRNA from 1 species